rnacentral:rRNA from 1 species
ACGGGAGGCAGCAGUGAGGAAUAUUGGUCAAUGGACGGAAGUCUGAACCAGCCAAGUCGCGUGAAGGAAGACGGUUCUAUGGAUUGUAAACUUCUUUUGCAUGAGGGUAAAAGACGGUGCGUGUACUGUUUUGCAAGUAUCAUGUGAAUAAGCAUCGGCUAACUCCGUGCCAGCAGCCGCGGUAAUACGGAGGAUGCGAGCGUUAUCCGGAUUUAUUGGGUUUAAAGGGUGCGUAGGCGGGCUGUUAAGUCGGCGGUGAAAGUUUGCGGCUCAACCGUAAAAUUGCCGUUGAAACUGGCGGUCUUGAGUGUAAACGAGGUAGGCGGAAUGUGAUGUGUAGCGGUGAAAUGCUUAGGUAUGUCACAGAACUCCGAUUGCGAAGGCAGCUUACCAGGAUACAACUGACGCUGAGGCACGAAAGCGUGGGUAUCAAACAGGAUUAGAUACCCUGGUA